rnacentral:rRNA from 1 species
ACGAACGCUGGCGGCGUGCUUAACACAUGCAAGUCGAACGGAAAGGCCCUGCUUUUGUGGGGUGCUCGAGUGGCGAACGGGUGAGUAACACGUGAGUAACCUGCCCUUGACUUUGGGAUAACUUCAGGAAACUGGGGCUAAUACCGGAUAGGAGCUCCUGCUGCAUGGUGGGGGUUGGAAAGUUUCGGCGGUUGGGGAUGGACUCGCGGCUUAUCAGCUUGUUGGUGGGGUAGUGGCUUACCAAGGCUUUGACGGGUAGCCGGCCUGAGAGGGUGACCGGCCACAUUGGGACUGAGAUACGGCCCAGACUCCUACGGGAGGCAGCAGUGGGGAAUAUUGCACAAUGGGCGGAAGCCUGAUGCAGCAGCGCCGCGUGCGGGAUGACGGCCUUCGGGUUGUAAACCGCUUUCGCCUGUGACGAAGCGUGAGUGACGGAAAUGGGUAAAGAAGCACCGGCUAACUACGUG